ensembl:lncRNA
UAAAUUACUCCUUCAUAUUUAAUAAAUCCCCCUGAUGUAGAGAAUGGCUAAAUUACUCCUUCAUAUUUAAUAAAUCCCCCUGAUGUAGAGAAUGGCUAAAUUACUCCUUCAUAUUUAAUAAAUCCCCCUGAUGUAGAGAAUGGCUAAAUUACUCCUUCAUAUUUAAUAAAUCCCCCUGAUGUAGAGAAUGGCUAAAUUACUCCAUAUUUAAAUCCCCCUGAUGUAGAGAAUGGCUAAAUUACUCCUUCAUAUUUAAAUCCCCCUGAUGUAGAGAAUGGCUAAAUUACUCCAUAUUUAAAUCCCCCUGAUGUAGAGAAUGGCUAAAUUACACCUUCAUAUUUAAAUCCCCCCUGAUGUAGAGAAUGGCUAAAUUACUCCUUCAUAUUUAAAUCCCCCCUGAUGUAGAGAAUGGCUAAAUUACUCCUUCAUAUUUAAAUCCCCCCUGAUGUAGAGAAUGGCUAAAUUACUCCUUCAUAUUUAAUAAAUCCCCCUGAUGUAGAGAAUGGCUAAAUUACUCCUUCAUAUUUAAAUCCCCCUGAUGUAGAGAAUGGCUAAAUUACUCCUUCAUAUUUAAAUCCCCCCUGAUGUAGAGAAUGGCUAAAUUACUCCUUCAUAUUUAAAUCCCCCCUGAUGUAGAGAAUGGCUAAAUUACUCCUUCAUAUUUAAUAAAUCCCCCUGACUUAGAGAAUGGCUAAAUUACUCCUUCAUAUUUAAAUCCCCCUGACAUAGAAACAAACAGAUCAUCUAUCUCUUUUUUUUUAGGGGAAAUUACCAGAAGGUGGAAAGACAUCACAAAAGUAUUUCCUGUCAGGGAGAUGUGUGUGUUCCUGACCAGACAGUAUGGUCUAACACCUCUUGACUUGACGUAUAUAUCUGAGAUAGACUAACUUUUGGCCCUGAUUUUUACACCAGUCAUAUAUGUCUUUUGUAAUUGCAGUUGCAUUUGCAUCUUUUCAAUAUGUCCAUUGGAUCACAUGAUCAUUUUAGAAAAAUAUAAAUCAGGAGAAAAAAAAUAGCAUUACAAAAAUAUACUAAAUGUCUACUUCCACGUGACAACUUUACACAACAUUAGUAUGGACGGACUGGUAGUGAACAUAUCCUCCUUCCGAUAUGAAGCAACCCACUAAACACAAGGUCUUUUUAAAAAUAAAUCUUUCAAAACACACGUAGGACUUCAGAAUGAUGAUUAACGGUGACACGCCCUGUUAUUAAGAGUUGAGUGUUUCUCCUGAGAGAGAGAACGGUUCGAUCCCAAGCCACCAACAACAGUAUAUGGCAGUUGUGGUUGUCCGUUGACCACUAGGGGGCAGGACAGUACGGGAGAAGUAUCCAGUUGACCACUAGGGGGCAGGACAGUAUGGGAGAAGUAUCCAGUUGACCACUAGGGGGCAGGACAGUACCGGAGAUGCAUCCAAUUGUCCACCAGGGGGCAGGACAGUAUGGGAGAAGUAUCCAGUUGACCACUAGGGGGCAGGACAGUAUGGGAGGAGUAUCCAACUGACCACCAGGGGGCAGGACAGUACCGGAGAAGUAUCCAGUUGACCACCAGGGGGCAGGACAGUACGGGAGAAGUAUCCAGUUGACCAAUAGGGGGCAGGACAGUACGGGAGAAGUAUCCAGUUGACCAAUAGGGGGCAGGACAGUACUGGAGAUGCAUCCAGCUGCAGAGCUCCACCCCAAAAUAACAACAAUCAGAAAACAAAAGUUAAAUGGAUGUGAUGGAGUUGGUGGAAGGCACAGAAGGGUGGUGGUUGGGUCAGAUCCUUGGUCGUCUGUCUGUCCUGAUCAGAAGGGUGGUGGUUGGGUCAGAUCCUUGGUCGUCUGUCUGUCCUGAUCAGAAGGGUGGUGGUUGGGUCAGAUCCUUGGUCGUCUGUCUGUCCUGAUCAGAAGGGUGGUGGUUGGGUCACAUCCUUGGUCGUCUGUCUGUCCUGAUCAGAAGGGUGGUGGUUGGGUCACAUCCUUGGUCGUCUGUCUGUCCUGAUCAGAAGGGUGGUAGUUGGGUCAGAUCCUUGGGCAUCUGUCUGUCUGUCCUGAUCAGAAGGGUGGUGUUUGGGUCAGAUCCUUGGCCGUCUGUCUGUCCUGAUCAGAAGGGUGGUGUUUGGGUCAGAUCCUUGGCCGUCUGUCUGUCUGUCCUGGUCAGAAGGGUGGUGGUUGGGUCAGAUGCGUUGUCUGCCUGUAUGUCCUGGUCUAAUACUGCUGUAGGAGAACACAUGGUUGUCUGUCUGUCCAGGUCGAGACGAUCCUUCUUGGCUGUCCUGAUGUGGGGAUUCGGGGCUGCCUCUGUUAGGACAAGAGAGAGAGAGAUGACUGAUUAUUAUCAGAUAGAUGACCAGACACUAUGUAUUUCACACAGAUACUGUUUGUGGUCGUCUGCUGCAAUAGCUUAUCCGUGACAAGGACCGACGAGUUGUGCAUUCCCAGACUAUACUGCUGUAAUACCUACAUGUUUCAAGCAGACCACCAUAGUCCCUGUGCCCAAGAAAGCGAAGGUAACCUGCCUAAGUGUCUACCGCCCCGCAGCACUCACGUCUGUAGCCAUGAAGUGCUUUGAAAGGCUGGUCAUGGCUCACAUCAAUACCGUCAUCCCGGAAACCCUAGACCCACUUCAAUUCGCACACCGCCCCAACAGAUCCACAGAUGUCACAAUCUCAGUCGCACUCCACACUGCCCUUUCCCACCUGGACAAAAAUAACACCUAUGUGAGAAUGCUGUUCAUUGACUACAGCUCAAUGUUGAACACCAUAGUACCAUCAAAGCUCAUCACUAAGCUAAGGAUCCUGGGACUAAACACCUCCCUCUGCAACUGGAUCCUGGACUUUCUGACGGGCCGCCCCCAGGUGGUGAGGGUAGGUAGCAACACAUCUGCCACGCUGAUCCUCAUUACAGGAGCCCCCCAGGGGUGCGUGCUCAGUCCCCUCCUGUACUCCCUGUUCACCCACAACUGCAUGGCCAGGCACGCCUCCAACACCAACCAAGGUUGCAGACGACGCAACAGUGGAAAGCACCAGCCCUGUAUCAUCCCAGCCCUGUUUCAU